GUUUGAUCAUGGCUCAGAUUGAACGCUGGCGGCAGGCCUAACACAUGCAAGUCGAACGGUAACAGGAAGCAGCUUGCUGCUUCGCUGACGAGUGGCGGACGGGUGAGUAAUGUCUGGGAAACUGCCUGAUGGAGGGGGAUAACUACUGGAAACGGUAGCUAAUACCGCAUAAUGUCGCAAGACCAAAGAGGGGGACCUUCGGGCCUCUUGCCAUCGGAUGUGCCCAGAUGGGAUUAGCUUGUUGGUGGGGUAACGGCUCACCAAGGCGACGAUCCCUAGCUGGUCUGAGAGGAUGACCAGCCACACUGGAACUGAGACACGGUUCAGACUCCUACGGGAGGCAGCAGUGGGGAAUAUUGCACAAUGGGCGCAAGCCUGAUGCAGCCAUGCCGCGUGUAUGAAGAAGGCCUUCGGGUUGUAAAGUACUUUCAGCGGGGAGGAAGGGAGUAAAGUUAAUACCUUUGCUCAUUGACGUUACCCGCAGAAGAAGCACCGGCUAACUCCGUGCCAGCAGCCGCGGUAAUACGGAGGGUGCAAGCGUUAAUCGGAAUUACUGGGCGUAAAGCGCACGCAGGCGGUUUGUUAAUUCAGAUGUGAAAUCCCCGGGCUCAACCUGGGAACUGCAUCUGAUACUGGCAAGCUG
rnacentral:rRNA from 1 species